rnacentral:rRNA from 1 species
UGGGGAAUAUUGGGCAAUGGGCGCAAGCCUGACCCAGCAACGCCGCGUGAGGGAAGAAGGUUUUCGGAUCGUAAACCUCUGUUGUAGGGGACGAGGAAAAGACGGUACCCUACGAGGAAGCUCCGGCUAACUACGUGCCAGCAGCCGCGGUAAUACGUAGGUGGCAAGCGUUAUCCGGAUUUACUGGGUGUAAAGGGCGCGUAGGCGGGGAUGCAAGUCAGAUGUGAAAUCUAUGGGCUUAACCCAUAAACUGCAUUUGAAACUGUAUCUCUUGAGUGUCGGAGAGGUAGACGGAAUUCCUAGUGUAGCGGUGAAAUGCGUAGAUAUUAGGAGGAACACCAGUGGCGAAGGCGGUCUACUGGACGAUAACUGACGCUGAGGCGCGAAAGCGUGGGGAGCAAACAGGAUUAGAUACCCUGGUAGU